rnacentral:lncRNA from 1 species
GGUUUUAGUAGACAAAAAUACCCUCAUAUAUUAUGGAUUUUAAGUUUAAGGUUAAAGGUAUUUGAAUAAAUUUCUUUCUCAAAACUAAAAAAAAAAAAACAAGAAACCCCCUAAACCCUUAGUCAACUCUCUCAUUCCUCUUAACCCAUUUGUCUUUCAUCUCUCUCACUCUACCUUUUCUCUGUCAUCUAGCCCCAUUUGAAAAAAAUCAGAAACACUUGCCUAACGUUAAUCCAUCUUCCUCACUUAUCUAAUUUGUUUCUCUCUCAUCUCCACACUCUUCCUCACCCACACACAACAA